rnacentral:rRNA from 1 species
AGUGAACGCUGGCGGUAGGCCUAACACAUGCAAGUCGAACGGCAGCACAGAGGAGCUUGCUCCUUGGGUGGCGAGUGGCGGACGGGUGAGGAAUACAUCGGAAUCUACUCUGUCGUGGGGGAUAACGUAGGGAAACUUACGCUAAUACCGCAUACGACCUACGGGUGAAAGCAGGGGACCUUCGGGCCUUGCGCGAUUGAAUGAGCCGAUGUCGGAUUAGCUAGUUGGCGGGGUAAAGGCCCACAAAGGCGACGAUCCGUAGCUGGUCUGAGAGGAUGAUCAGCCACACUGGAACUGAGACACGGUCCAGACUCCUACGGGAGGCAGCAGUGGGGAAUAUUGGACAAUGGGCGCAAGCCUGAUCCAGCCAUACCGCGUGGGUGAAGAAGGCCUUCGGGUUGUAAAGCCCUUUUGUUGGGAAAGAAAUCCAGCUGGCUAAUACCCUGGGGUCAUGACGGUACCGUAAGAAUAAGCACCGGCUAACUACGUGCCAGCCGCCGCCGUAA